rnacentral:rRNA from 1 species
GACGAACGCUGGCGGCGUGCUUAACACAUGCAAGUCGAACGGGCCCGCCCCUGUUUUUGGGGGUGGGUUGAGUGGCGAACGGGUGAGUAUCACGUGAGUAACCUGCCCCCUGCUCCUGGAUAACUGCUUGAAAGGGCGGCUAAUACGGGGUGUGCCGGCUGGUCCGCAUGGGCCUGGUCGGGAUAGUUUCAUCUUCGGGUGUUUCGGUGGGGGAUGGGCUCGCGGCCUAUCAGCUUGUUGGUGGGGUGAUGGCCCACCAAGGCGGUGACGGGUAGCCGGCCGGAGAGGGUGGGCGGCCAGACUGGGACGGAGACACGGCCCAGAGGGCUGCGGGAGGCAGCAGUGGGGGGUAUUGAAGAAGGGGCGGAAGCCUGAUGAAGCGGCGUCGCGUGAGGAAUGGAGGCCUUCGGGUGGUGAACCUCUUUCUCAGGUGGUGAAGGCCCUGUCCGUUGCGGCGGGGUUGACGGUAGCCGGGUAUGAAGCGCCGGCUAACUACGUG